rnacentral:rRNA from 1 species
GUAGGUGGCAAGCGUUGUCCGGAAUUAUUGGGCGUAAAGCGCGCGCAGGCGGUUCUUUAAGUCUGAUGUGAAAGCCCACGGCUCAACCGUGGAGGGUCAUUGGAAACUGGAGAACUUGAGUACAGAAGAGGAAAGCGGAAUCCCACGUGUAGCGGUGAAAUGCGUAGAGAUGUGGAGGAACACCAGUGGCGAAGGCGGCUUUCUGGUCUGUAACUGACGCUGAGGCGCGAAAGCGUGGGGAGCAAACAGGGAUUAGAUACCCUGGUAGUCCACGCCGUAAACGAUGAGUGCUAAGUGUUAGGGGGGUUUCCGCCCCCUUAGUGCUGCAGCUAACGCAUUAAGCACUCCGCCUGGGGAGUACGGCCGCAAGGCUG